rnacentral:rRNA from 1 species
GACGAACCGUGCGAACGUUGUUCGGAAUCACUGGGCUUAAAGGGCGCGUAGGCGGGCUGUCAAGUCCGGGGUGAAAUCCUCCAGCUCAACUGGAGAAUGGCCUCGGAUACUGAUGGUCUCGAGGAGGAUAGGGGGCACACGGAACUGUGGGUGGAGCGGUGAAAUGCGUUGAUAUCCACAGGAACUCCGGUGGCGAAAGCGGUGUGCUGGAUCCUUCUGACGCUGAUGCGCGAAAGCCAGGGGAGCAACGGGAUUAAGA